rnacentral:rRNA from 1 species
UGUCUUCUAAAUAAAGACCAGUAUGAACGGCUAAAUGAGGACAAACCUGUCUCUUGCAACCAAUCAGUGAAACUGAUCUCCCGGUCCAAAAGCCGGGAUAACCCCAUAAGACGAGAAGACCCUGUGGAGCUUGAAACAAGCUACUAUGCACCACACAAGCUGCAACUAGUAGGCAGUUUUAAGUUGGGGCGACUUCGGAACCAAAAAAAACUUCCGAGCACAGAACCACCCACUCUUACCAAGACUAACAAGUCAAAGUCAAAAACGACCCAGUAACACUGACCAACGAACCAAGUUACCCCAGGGAUAACAGCGCCAUCUUCUUCAAGAGUUCAUAUCGACAAGAAGGUUUACGACCUCGAUGUUGGAUCAGGACACCCCAAUGGUGCAGCCGCUAUUAAAGGUUCGUUUGUUCAACGAUUAAUAGU